rnacentral:lncRNA from 1 species
ACAAAGGAAGCUUCCACAUUGUCCAAUAACGGCCAUCGUAGUAUCCAGGUGUGCUUCCAUGCUCACGGUACACAAAUCCGUGCUAUAUAGACAUACCAUUCAAAAUCAUGAUUCACAUGGUAUAAAAUGGAUGUUUAGAUACAAGUAAACAAAAUUUUGUUUUUAUUACCUCCAACUCAAAUUCAACACAAGGAAUCCACUUGUUGCGGAGAAGGUAGUCAACUUCUUUGGCCAAUUCAACGUCAGUAAGGUCAGGAAGAUAAGAGAGAGUCUCAAACUUCUUCUUUCCAACUGGUGGCCACACCUAUAAAUCCCAUUUGCAGUUAAUAAAUAGGAAUUCCCUUUUGUAUAUACACAUUUUUCAAUCCGGUACGUUAUUAUAUACUAUUGUUCACUCGGAUUUUCACAUGUACCAGUUCCACAUAAUAAAGGACGGGCCUACAACUCUAGUGAUAUUUACCUUCAUGCAGCUAACUCUUCCUCCGUUGUUUGCAAUGGAAGUAAUAUCAGUGUUGCUUUUGCGGGUGACUGGGAAUGCAGCGGAUGACUUCAAGCCGGUGAAUGGAGCAACCAUGGUGGCUUGAGCCGGUGAGGUAGCCACAGCGGCGGAGGAGAGCAUAGAGGAAGCCAUUAUUACUUCUUUUUCUCUUUUCUAUUACUUGUUUCUCUAUUGCUUUGGUCAUCUAUAUAUAGUGAGGCCGGCAUGAGGCAUAAAGCCCUUAGAUCAAAGAGUGCGGGAUUCAUGUCUGAUGAUAACGUCGUUACCUGCCACAGGAUUAAGGAAAGGUGUUGUCUUGGGAGUCUGCAAUACCUUUUUUCACCAGACCAGACAUUGCCUUCCCGGUAAAUCGUCUAGCUCAAUUUCUGCAGCGACCUACAGACCUUCACUGGCAAGCAGUCAAGCGAAUUCUUCGCUAUCUGGCUGGUACGUCUGCUCAUGGGAUUCUCAUUCGUCCUGAUACACCAUUGAAGCUCCACGCAUACUCCGAUGCCGACUGGGCAGGCGAUGCUGACGAUUAUUGCUCCACAAACGCCUAUAUCGUGUACCUUGGGAGCAAUCCAAUUUCUUGGAGCUCAAAGAAGCAAACGGGAGUGGCUCGCUCGUCUACGGAAGCCGAAUACAGGGCCGUCGCCAAUGCAGCAGCGUAACUACUCUGGGUAUGUUCGCUUUUCACUGGGCUGCGUAUACCGUUACCAGAGAUGCCAGUGAUAUACUGUGAUAAUGUUGGUGCCACCUACCUUGCUGCCAAUCCUGUAUUUCACUCGAAGAUGAAGCAUAUAGCCCUUGAUUUUCACUUUAUCCGGCACCAUGUGCAAUCUGGAGCGCUACGAGUCUCCCACCUCUCGACUAAGGACCAGUUGGCUGAUGCUCUCACUAAACCACUUCCUCGACCGCGCUUCCAAGAACUUUUGUGCAAGAUUGGAAUCACUCAUGUUACUCCAUCUUGAGGGGGUGUAUAGGAGAUAUAUGUCAUUAGGGUCAUAACUGUAAUUAGUCAAUACCUAAUCACUUAUGUACUCUGUAUAAAUACUGUACUUGUACAUAUUAAUAAGAUAUUCAACCUCCAUUUAUACAUCUAUCAUCUUUCUAUUUUUCUCUUUAUUAUCUCCAAUAUCCAAGUCUAUACUUUUCGGAAAUCUUCAUUUUCCCCUUUUUUUUUCCCUUAUUCCUCUCAAAGCAAGUAAACCUUCAUUGAUUUGGGCUUUCAUUUCAAAAUGUUUUAUGAUUUAGGUCUUUUAAGUAUUUCCUGAAAAUGUCGUCGUUUCACUCCACGGUUAUUUUGGUGUCGUUGGAUUACGAAAUGAUGAAAAUAAUUUUUUUGUCGAAAAACUAUUUGUUGUUUACGUUUAACCAUUUUUAUUCAACCUUUUGGCUAGUUUUACGUAAUUUUUUUCUCAUUGUUUGUAAUAUUUUUUACUGGCAACUUUGUUACGAAGAGCGUUAAAGACACGAAUCAGGAGAAGACACUAUGAAUGGAGAAGUGUGUGACGAUUCUAGGGAGAGUGGGCGACGACUCUACAGGAGAGUGGGCGAUGACUCGAAAUGGGUGAGGAGUAAAGAGGGCGACACUCUACGGGAGAGUGGACGAUGACUCAUUGCUCGUUGUUAAAUUAUUUAAAAGUGUCUGUCUAACUAAAACGUUUUUUAUAUAAUUAAUUAAUUAUUCAAUACAUUUAAAAAAAACUUGUUUCUCAUUUUGUAAAUUUUAAAACUUUUUUAGAUAAUGUUUUGUUAAAAUUGAUUUUAGAAAAAUUUUAAAUAGUUUUUGGAUUAUUUUUUCUGUUAACAAAGUUUAUUUUUAAUUUUAUAUGGCAGGAAAUGCAGGAAACAUUCCCAAGGCGCUCGACAACAACGUCCCACCCAAGUUGGUGUGAAUACUGUAUCAGCGUCUGGAUUUCUUGUAUCUUCUCCCGCACCAAAUUUUCAAACCUUGGUCUCUUGGGAAGUGCCAAUUACCAUGAGCGUCUCGGAGUUAGUUCAACAACCUAGACGAAAACUUCUGACGAGACUCCAUCCUCAUGAGCGGACGGUGCGAUGUGGUAAAUUUUUCUUUAUUUAAACUACACAUUCCUUUAAUUCUUUUUCUUAGGUUCAAUUACUCAAGCAACUGAAUUAGCGAAAGUAUUUUGAAGAUGAUGUAUAUAAUGCUGAAACACGCUUAUCUGACAUACAUGGACAAGACAAGGGAUGAUCGAUGUUAAUUCUUCUAAUUGUUUGAUUCAUGAUUAUUGACUCUUAACAGUUUUUAACUAAUAUUAUUUUUAUUUCUAUUUUAAUAAGAGUUCACUUGGAAACUGUAGCCCAUGACUCGAUCAGGUGGAAAAUGCAUUCCACCAUCAUGCACAAAAAGCAUGACAACUAUCAAAUCAAUGAGUAGAAACAGAAGCGGGUUGUCGGCAAGACGCCAAAGUCAAUCAACCCAAUUGUUUGGGAGGGAUUGAAGGAGUAUUUGGCAUUAACGAAUGCACAUGCUACUUUCUAGACCAACUCAGGUAACCGGCGUAGCGACCAUCGCUUGGUCAGGUUAGGUUGUGGAGCACAAUCCUUUUUUUUUAUCCAUGUCAGCUUUGUAUACUGCUGACCUCGAACUUGUUCAAGAGCUCAAGAAGAAAAUGUACGAAUGCGUUGGAGAAGAAAAAUGAAGCAAAUACGGCUCAUAAUGUGGGACACGCCCGUCAAAUCAUAGAGGACAACAAAUUCAUGCAAGCGAUGCGUCGUUGCAAGUUUGGCGACUUUCGGUUUUUUUUUUCAAACUCUUAAAUAUUGGUUUCUUGUUAAAAAUAUUAAAGUAUUUGGUUUAAUAUUUUCGAAUUAUAAAUAUUAAAUAUUUGAAUUUUAAAAAUUAUGUCGGGAAUUCGUUGGGAUAUUCAUCAGGAAUAAUUUCUGACAAACGUGUGAUCUCGUCGGGAGAAUUCUCGACGACCAAGAUCGUCGGAAGAAUUCUCGACGAAAUUUUUGGUUAUGAAAAAAAUUCCCAACGAACCUUUGGUCAUCAGAAAUAAUUAUUACUGAUAACUUAUCGAGAAAAACUACUCACGAGUCACGACCAAGUCGCGUUGGGAAUUCUUCUGACAGAAUUCCAACAACAUUUUCCAUGACCGAUUUUGUCGAAAAUUCUUUUGGAAAGUAGUUGUGGGGAAUUCAUUGCCGUCUUUUUAAAAAUCUCCUAAGAAUUUUUUGUCAAAUGAAAUAAAACCGAUAAAAAGUGGUUAUCGGAAAUCCGUGGAGAAAGAUAAUUCCCAAUGACUUUCCGACGAAUAUAGUCAUCGAGAAUAACUUGUUUUCUUGCAGUGUAUCUUCUGUAUGGCAUCCUCCACAGAUAUGACUAUCACAGAUUUUAAGUGGACCAUCCUUUUCUUCCAGGAUUAACUACGUGUAAGUGAGAUGACAUGCAUGAACUUGAGAAAAAGUACUUUGAUAUUAUUGAAAAAUUAUAUUUUUUUGGUAAGAUGCUAAGUAAAAUUAUAAAAUUUAGAAAACAAUUCCUGUAAAACAAUUAAAAAUAAGAAUAUAGAUCCAUAUGUAUGUGUUAACUAAUAGCGGGGAUAUAUUUAUAUAAUGUAUCUUAUUUCCGAUAACAAUUUACGAAUAAUAUGUAUUAAAGGAUCUCAUACCACGUAAGUAGUGUGAAACAUCAAAUGAUGACUACCUUAUGAAAUGAUUAAAUAAAUCUAUAGUAAAAAAAAAUCUACACAAACCGUAUAGGAUACAAAAUGAUACAUUGGUGCUCUUAUAUUUGAAUAUCUGAUGAACUAAUUAACUUAAGAUGAAAUCUGUGUUUUGUAGGUAAAAUUGUUUCUUGUUCUAUAAAGCAAUUACCACUAACAUUAUCGAAACCUUUUUGUUAAGUUAUGUAGUCUGUUUUCUUAUAGGGAUAAAAAAUUAAAACCUAAUUGCCAUAAAAAUAACCAAGAAGAAGCAACGAUAUAGAAAUUACAUAUAUAUCCAUAAAUCAGACAUUUGACAAUCCGAUAGAAAAUGUCUCAGACAGAAAUCCAAAGAGGAUAAAAACAGGCAAUUGGAAGUGAAAUGAGUAUAGAUUAUUAUAUGAUUGUUUUAGAAAGGAAAUUAAGCACCGGUGAAGCUUGGUGGCUUGUAGGCGAUGAAACUGAUGCACUGGACCUGACGGUUGUUGUCGAAUCCAAUGAUUCUAAUAAAGGCGUUAGGGUACUCCGUCUUGCACUCUUGCACUUCCUUCAACACUUGAGCAGAGUCAGUGCAUCCAAACAAAGGAAGCUUCCACAUUGUCCAAUAACGGCCAUCGUAGUAUCCAGGUGUGCUUCCAUGCUCACGGUACACAAAUCCGUGCUAUAUAGACAUACCAUUCAAAAUCAUGAUUCACAUGGUAUAAAAUGGAUGUUUAGAUACAAGUAAACAAAAUUUUGUUUUUAUUACCUCCAACUCAAAUUCAACACAAGGAAUCCACUUGUUGCGGAGAAGGUAGUCAACUUCUUUGGCCAAUUCAACGUCAGUAAGGUCAGGAAGAUAAGAGAGAGUCUCAAACUUCUUCUUUCCAACUGGUGGCCACACCUAUAAAUCCCAUUUGCAGUUAAUAAAUAGGAAUUCCCUUUUGUAUAUACACAUUUUUCAAUCCGGUACGUUAUUAUAUACUAUUGUUCACUCGGAUUUUCACAUGUACCAGUUCCACAUAAUAAAGGACGGGCCUACAAC